UACGAAGGGGGCUAGCGUUGCUCGGAAUCACUGGGCGUAAAGCGCACGUAGGCGGAUUCCUAAGUCGGGGGUGAAAUCCUGGAGCUCAACUCCAGAACUGCCUUUGAUACUGAGGAGCUUGAGUCCGGGAGAGGUGAGUGGAACUGCGAGUGUAGAGGUGAAAUUCGUAGAUAUUCGGAAGAACACCAGUGGCGAAGGCGGCUCACUGGCCCGGUACUGACGCUGAGGUGCGAAAGCGUGGGGAGCAAACAGG
rnacentral:rRNA from 1 species